rnacentral:rRNA from 1 species
UACGUAGGCAGCGAGCGUUGUUCGGAGUUACUGGGCGUAAAGGGUGCGUAGGCGGUCGUUUAAGUUUGGUGUGAAAUCUCCCGGCUCAACUGGGAGGGUGCGCCGAAUACUGAAUGACUAGAGUGCGGGAGAGGAUAGUGGAAUUCCUGGUGUAGCGGUGAAAUGCGUAGAUAUCAGGAGGAACACCUGUGGCGAAAGCGGCUCACUGGACCAUAACUGACGCUGAUGCACGAAAGCUAGGGGAGCAAACAGG